AGUUUUACACUUGCUUUCAAUAUUACAACUAGAACCUAAUCAAAAGAACAUAUUUCAACCUUGCGCUACAUGGAAAGUUUUUGACCAUUGUGCCACAGCCGCUAUGCCCAAACUGAUAGACCUGAAUGAUGAUGAGCACCAUUAUUAUUAUCAUCACCGCUUCUCCAUUCAAAUUCUGCUUUAAUACUCAGUAUCGAUUGCAGUCCUCGACUUUGCACUGUGUAUUCAAUUUUAGCCAUCAGUGCGUUCUGCUGAACAGAGCGUCUCAUCUUUCAUUGCAUAAAUCUCAUUUGCUAUCUCUAGCAGCACAUGGUGCCUGUCUCCUCUGGCAAGGAUGAUUCGUUUUGCUAGGAUGCACACUAGAUGGGGAGGAAAAGGGAAACAGAGUUGAAGACAGGGCUACAAUCUUACUGUGCUUUUAGUCUGACUCCUUAGCCACGCUCCCUAAUGUCCCACAGCGGUGAAGCUGGGAUGUCUAAAUUAGGAAGGAGAGGGCAGAGGAGAACCCAUUCUCCUUGCUUCAUGUUGUUUACACAGUGUGACUGUGCUAGUGAGGCACUGAAUAAGUACAAAUGGAGCAGCCCAGGGAGGGGCUUAGGCCAGUGAUUCGUCUCGACUUCUAAAGAGGAGGCCAUUAAUAGCAGGCCUUCAGCUCUUGUUUGAACAGUCGUAUGUGUCAGAGGAAUAUUAUCAAGUGGAGAGACUGCCACAGGCUACAGAAGAAAAAGAGUUUAGCAAUGGAAGCUGUACAGCUCGGGGUAAAACUGCUGGACAAAAACUAUAAUAAGGUUCCACAGCUUUACGACUUAAAGUGGAUGUCUCACUUUCACAUUCAAACAAGGUCACAACUGACAACAUAUGGCAAGGCCACGCAAUGAUAUACUGUGCCCUGAAGGAAGCGCCAUCUCUCAUCAGCCCAUUGCGAUGCUGGUCAUAUGAGCAGGGUGGAUGAUGACGAUGCCCACUGCAGAGUUAAUAUCCAGGGUGCUCCGAGCUCUGUCAGAGGCCGACUCAUUCCACUGAUAAAUGUCUGGUCCAGAACAGCCUUCAACUUAUGGGAAAUCUGUCUUUCUAAAAAUUUAACCUCCUCUCUAUGGCCCCCUUUUUCCCUGCCUUUACACUCCUGAAAGGUAGGCAUUACUCACUCACCUAGGAUUCCUGUAGUGGUGCUUUUUUCUUUUUUUUUUUUUUUGCUUACUUCAUGUUUAUAAAUGAGACUUUUAAGAAAUCAGCACAUCAGUACUCUGGUUGAAUAUGGUAUUUUGUAUACUUAUGAAUAUUUCUUGCUCUUUUGAAUUAUGAUGUGUAUAAUAUUUUGUGUUCUUUCUACUUUACAGCCUCUUCCUCAACAAUAACCUAAUGGAUCUGAAUAAUAAAUGUGUGGCAGCCUGGGAAAGUGCUGAAAUGGUGAAAUAUUGUGUGAAGUUCUGAAAACAACCAGUUUUCCUGAAUGAAAUUAUGUUUCUCCUUCAUACAUUUCCAUCACAAGUUACAACAUUUUAAAAUCAUAUUACCUCCAGAAGUGAAAAGGAAGAAAACUGCAUUGUUGAGCAUUUAAAAAUUCCAUCCAGUUCAAAUGAAAGACACCAACAUACUGAACGUCUAAAAGCAAAAUCUAUGUAUUAAUUUUAGUUUAGCUGAAUGUAAUAUGUAAUGAGUAAGUUAUAUAAAUUAUAAAUAUGAUAAUGAAAACUAUGUUUUCAGCCUUUAUUUAUAGCCUACAGACUAAUAGGCUAUGAGAAACCCAUUCCAUGCAAAAUACUAUCCUUAUCUUUAUAUUAUCUCAAUUGUAAUUACUUUAACCUGAUGUAAUAUUAUCCUAAGAUGACAGGAUAUAGCACACAAAUACUCUGCCUAUGUAUACACUUCUAACCUAAUAUAUUUAUGGAAAAACAACAAUAGUGCCACUUUAUCAAAGAUUAUACAUUUCUGAUGGGAAAUGUGCAAUUACUUUCACAUCCAUCAUCAUUAUCAGUCUCUCAUCACUUUAGGUAAAUGUCAGUCAUGGAAUUUGAUGAAUAGGAGUAUCAUUGUUGCUCUUGACUCAACUGAUCACUGUCCAAAAAUGGGGAUGACAGGUUAGAGGCUAAUUAGAUUAACUAGCUAGCUAGCUAGCUAACAUCUACAGAUAAAUUCAAUUACGUAGCCUGUAAUUUGUAUUUGCAUUUCUUUAUUUGGGUUUGAGUAUAGCUCAUGUCUGGUGUCUUCCAUAUUCUAACAGAUUCUCUGCUGACGUAUUUACAAGUAGCUUCAACCUCUCCAUCCGCCUCAUCUCAAUUAGCUCCUGGUGAUCAAGGUGACCCAGCCUCUCCAUCCACUGCAUCUCAACUAAAAUCUCGCCUAGGGCGCCAACAGAGCCUGGGCUGGCCCUGACAACAUGUACCACUUAUCUAUCUCCUUACAUACAUUCUACCCCACUUUAUCUUAUGGCAAGACAUAUCAGGUCAGAACACCCUGGUACAGAAUACACUCACAAAUAAUAACAAUCAGCAUAAAGAGAAUAAAACAGAUUUUAAGCAUAAGAGAAAGUAAAGGAAAAUCAAAUAGUACGACAUUGUCCUGUAACUAAUGUCAUCUUUGUAGAAAGCCAAGGCAAGUAAAUGAAAAUGUUUUCAUAUUGCGGUGAGAUAUAGUUCUGUUUUCUUAAUAUAGAUGUAGAUGUGUUAUAAGCAGAAAAACAAAUCCAAAUUUGGCCACACAGUUUUUCAUCAUUGUUAAUUGUUUGCCAGAAUUCAGCCACAGCUGCACUUCAUACGUUUUUCAAGCCAUCACACAAAUAUAUGAAAAUAUAAAGUAUACUGUAUUUUUGUGUAGGGUUCUCAUUUUUUUCGCUGCAUGUGUGGGUCAUCAUCUCAAAUACUUGUCUAAUCGACAUAUUAUUUAGAUUUGUUUCAACCUUCAGAAUGUUGCAGAAUUAGGAGGGAAAAAAACAUUGGCUCCUCUCAGGCUCAUCUCUAUGGGUUGUAUAAAAGUUUUAUUGACUAAAAACCAUGGAAGAUGUGAGCUCAGUUACUGUCACUUACACAAUUAUAAGGGUGAUUCCAUUGUACAAAUGAACUGUCACUUGUUCCAACAAAAGAAAUGAUAGUAGAUAGUUAAUUAUAUACACUUUUAGAAGUUGUUGAGUUUGCGUCAAACACUUUAAACAGCUGAUUUCCUCUAAAAACAAUUGCUAUUAUUGUAAUAAUUAGUUAGUUUUUUUUUUUUGCUAAUUAGUCUCCAUUUUCACCUGUGACACAUUCUAUUAUAUAUUGUGAAUGCAUGAUAGUAUUACCAAAAUAACUCAUACAGCAGUGUCAACUCUGCAACCAGAAAUAUCACAUCUGAGCUUAAUUCUAGUUUGUAGAGUAUCAUCACAGAAUGCACCAUUUUGGCUAUAUUGUGGAUGGCAAAGGACCAUGUCAAGACCCAAUGGUGUCAACAUAGGAGACUUAAACCUCUAGCACUGAGGAAUGGAAAGUUCAUUUUGCAUCAUGAUGAUCAGAAUUUGGUACAAGCAGCAUACAUUCAUGGAACUUGCUGUUUGGUGUCAACAAUACAGGCUGAUGGUAGCAGUAUGAAAAUGCUUGGUUUCCUGAUACUUAUUCGGUAAUGUCUGAAUGGCCAUGUGGUAUUUGAUAGAUGUACCUGAUAGACAAGCAUCUCAGAACUAUGAUACUUCUUCAUACAUUUAAAUUCCAAAAUAAAAUAUGUAUUUAGCAAACUGUCAAUCUUUCUGCUGUGCAUAUCAAAAAUUUUUACUUUGCAUUAGGUAGUUACUCUGCCUUAACAGCGUUGACAGUAACAGAGUUAACGUUCUUGGCCAUGUUGAUCAUUACAUCUCAGCUUAUUGCAGUACAAUCACAUUGUAGCAAAGCCAAACUUCAUUCACAACCUACUGGCCACUUUAUGGGCUAUAUAUAUAUAUACCUAUAUACAGGACUUUGGAAAGAACAUUUAUGCUUGUCCCAGCUCACUAUGGCUAUCUUAGCUUGAAAUAUAAUCAUGAUUAUUUUUGCAUUAAUAUGUGAAUCCAUUUAACAUCUCAGGUUUGAAGCAUCUGUUUCCAUGAGUCAUCCAUUAUAAAUUAUAAAAAAUGUACAUUUUUAUGUUCCCACAACAUUCACUCAACCCUGUUCAGCUGAACAUAUUCACCCCAUUUUAAGUACAUUAUUAGAAUGUCCUUAAUGCCACGAGCAUGGACGCAAGCAUAGAGUUAGCAAAUGCACAAAAUGUGUAUUUGCUAACACUUUGAUAAAAAUCUCAAACCUGGUACUUAUUUAACAGCAAAAUGCAGUCAGUGUCAGCAAAGGAGGCUUGUGAAAAGGUUAAAUGCAUGUUUUCCUAGAUUUACUGUUGAAAAAUGAUGAAAAGUUACAAGGUCUAAAUGGCAGCACAUUCAUGGAAUCACCCUUUACUAGUUUUACAUUCUACAAUUUACAUUUCACUCUGCGCUUUGGUGUCCAUGAUCACUUGAGUACAGUGUAGAUUUUUUUUUUACCCAAUUUUCAUGUCAAGCCAUUUUCUCUUUCUUUCUUUCUCUCUUUCUUACUUUCUUUCUUUCUUUUGCCAUUUUCUGUAAUUUGUCUCCAGGUUUUGUCCUUUUUUGUCCCACAUGCUGUUAUGCUGCUAAAUAAUAAUUUUAUUGGUGUAGACCUGAGUCAAAAUAACUUCCACUUCUGCCUCUGAGAGAUUACUUUUCUUUCACUGUUUUGUCCCCAUUUUAGUGUUAUGAGAGCUUUAACUUUUAUCAAGUUUUCUUGGAGUCACUAAAAGUAAAUAACUGUGCUGUGAAUGCUCUGGGCAAGUUACAGUUGAUUGGCAUUUUAUGUAGCGAACACAGAGAUGUACCAGUGUUGUUAUAAUAAAUAUCAGCACUCUUGGAAUGCUGCUUGUCCAAUCAAAUUAGUGGACCGGAACUAAUUGUUGUAUAAUACGACUUUAUAAGAUUAUGUACCAUAACAGCCUCCUGUCCUGUGCUUUUGAGUUCCUCUCCUUCUCUGUUCAGCUGACAAGGGCUUACAUACGUUAGCACCCACCUAAUUGUGGAGGCUUCACUGUUGUUUUCUUGCCCUGGUACACCUCUUUCCCUAGGUACUAAUUACUUUUAACUGAGAGUCAUUAUGUCAUGGCAGAAUGGACUCGCUUGCAGGAAUCAAAGUCCUUUUAGAAAAACAGUAAUUAAAAGCCCAGGUAGCUGGCUUCAGGGCACCGAGCAUGAAGACCCACUGCAGAGAAAGUAGAAAGACACAGAAGUCCUGAAGUUAACUGGAGGAGCAUUAAAAACAAAGCUAUUUGAAGGGAAAAUUGUCCACAAAGUCUUUUUUCUGUGAAGUCAAGCUAUUACAUGUCCUAGUAAUUUUGUUCAGUUCUAGAAAAAAAGCAGCAUGCAUUCUGGGAGGACGGUGUCUGACUGGAGAUGAAGUGGAAACUGAGGUUGAUGGAGGUGCUUGAGGGUUCUCUGGCAAAGCCCAAGCCAUCUGAUCACACCAGCUUCACGGUGCCACCUCGAAGUUACACUCACUGAUAGACACAAUUCUCUGAAAACCAAGGCCGUCAGGCAUCGGAGAGAGACUCCUGCAAUUCACAGCCCAUAUGGUUUCGAAACAGGAAAUAAUUUGUUUCAUGGUGUGAGAAACUAUUGCCAAGCCAGUCUGCCAUUCUGGUGCUGAACAACAUUCGCCAUGGGCUACUGUUGUUAUCAUUUUCCAAGUUUCAUGCUGAUGAAAAUAUCAAUGUAUUCAUAUCACAUGUACUGUUUUCAUGUUUCAUAGUUAAUA